GACGAACGCUGGCGGUGUGCUUAACACAUGCAAGUCGAACGGUAAGGCCCUUUCGGGGGUACACGAGUGGCGAACGGGUGAGUAACACGUGAGUAACCUGCCCUCAUCUCUGGGAUAACAGUCGGAAACGGUUGCUAAUACUGGAUAUGAGCUUGCAAGGCAUCUUGUGGGUUGGAAAGAUUUUUUUUGGUUGGGGAUGGACUCGCGGCCUAUCAGCUUGUUGGUGAGGUAGUGGCUCACCAAGGCUUCGACGGGUAGCCGGCCUGAGAGGGCGACCGGCCACAUUGGGACUGAGAUACGGCCCAAACUCCUACGGGGGGCAGCAAUGGGGAAUAUUGCACAAUGGACGGAAGUCUGAUGCAGCAACGCCGCGUGCGGGAUGACGGCCUUCGGGUUGUAAACCGCUUUCAAUUGUGACGAAGCUUUUUUGUGACGGUAGCAGUAGAAGAAGCACCGGCUAACUACGUG
rnacentral:rRNA from 1 species